UACAUGUCUACCAUGCCAACAUCUCAAGUGUCAAUGAUCUUAUGCUACAUGACAUACUUGUUAAAGUUCCUCAAGGAUUGGAGACUGAAGAUGAAGUAAAAAAUGCUCUACUUAGAAGCUUAAAGCAAAUAACAUGUUGAUAAUUACCUAUUGGAGACUGAAGAUGAAGUAUGAUCUUCAAUCUCUUCUUUUCAUUUUUAAUCUUACCGUCAGAUCUCUCAAUAACAAUCACGUAUGCUUUGACAUUUUUUUGGAUUGAGAAUCGACUUCGGAUUUACUCAUUUGAUAGCUAAUGAGUAGGAAAAGAAGUGUAGGGUUUUCGCUUACACGUCUAAGAAAAGGGGUGAUUGGUCGGUUUAAUGUAUUAUCGAUUUGGUUUAUCGGUUUUUGGUUUUUAUAUACAUCAAAUCAAUAAGCUAGUUUUAUCAAUUUUUUAUCCUUAACGAUUCGAUUUCGAUUUAACUAAUAAGAAAAUGCUCUCUUGACAAUUUGACGCGACAAGACAAUAAUAUAACUUUAUAGAAUGCUCAUGAAAUAGAAACAAUAGUAGCUAACAUGAAAAGAUCUAUAAAAGUGCAACACAAAUUAAAGAGUAAAAAAAACUAUUUUUAUGACAUACUAUAUCCUUAAUUUAUGACAUAAAAUUAUUUAAUUUUUUUAAAAAAAAUUCUCUUAAUAAGACCUUAUAGAUCUCGAAUCAAAAUUAGUUAGAUUUCAAUAUAAUAUAAAAUCCUGAAUGAGUAAAAAAAAAGUUUUUAUGAUAUACUAUAUCCUUGUAUGGUAAGUUUUUAUAUGGGUUAAUAUCUUAAAAGGUCAUUGAACCAAUGGCGGAGGGAGAAUUUUCAUCAAGGGGGUUCAAAAAAAAAUUAAUCACGUAAAUAAUAUCCACAAAUAAAUUAAACGGGUCGAAUCGGAUAUAAACGGGUCGGAUUAAACUGUCGAAUCAAGAAGAAAAGGGUUUUUUAAUAUUUGACUUUAUAAUUAGGGAUUAAACUAAUAAAUCCUAAAUUCCCAAUCAGCGUUUUAAUUUUUUGGAACUAAACAUCAUUUUCUGAUUGCAUUAUUAUAUUUUUAAAUAAAUUAAAACGCCUAAAAUAUAAGCUGAUAAAAGAAAUGCCUCUGCCCGGAUUCGAACACGCGACCUCGCGUGCAGUANNNNNNNNNNNNNNNNNNNNNNNNNNNNNNNNNNNNNNNNNNNNNNNNNNNNNNNNNNNNNNNNNNNNNNAAGCAUAUGUUUUCCCAAUGAGUUGAUUCAGUAAGAAAUCGAAGGAAAAAUCAUGUUUUAAUAAAAUACUUCUAAAUUCCAAUAUGACUUUUUCAAAUUCCAAGGGAAAGCUCCAGUUCUUUAGAGUUUUGAUUCGAGGAAGAUGAUGGUUGUUGUGUGUGUCUUUUUGUUAAUUGCGUAGUUAGUAGUGCAUACACGUUAUAUGAUUAGGAAAACUGAAAAGACAGUAUAUGAAAUGGAAGUUGUUAUCAAUCGUAUGCAAUGAAUACGUUACAUGAGUAUACAUGGGUAUCUGAUAUUGCACUUGCUUUUUCUUUGUUGAGUACCGUCUACAUUCCAACGGUUGUUUCGAGACCUCAAUUGUGAGACUUCCGUCAUCUAAAUCCAAGGGAGAUACUUCCUUCAGACUACUAUGGAUUUCUCUUUUUCCUUCUUAGUCCAUUAUUCCGACUCAGACAUUCUAAACUUAUGUUUUUUUAUUAUUUGGGCUUCCAUCCUCUAUCCUAGACUGUUAGAUGUUUUGAUACUAUGACUUUCAAGUUUUAGGUUACGCAAUCGUUUUAAUUGACUAGUUAAAUUUAUAGAAGCUCAAACUUAUAAUUGUUUUAAGACUAUUUUAUUAGCGUUUUAUUCCAUGGUUUGGUUUUAAAAUGGUUGAUGGGUUAGUCUUGGGUUGGUAGCUGGUUCUCCCACUAAAGGGUUAGUGUGGGUGUCACUCACGACAGAUCAAGGUCGUGACAAAUUUGUUGUUUAACUUUCGAAUUCAAACACCGUCAGAUAAAUUGGAACAAAAUGAGGAAGUUAGGUAUGAGGCUAUGAGCACAUAUAUAUAAGUUGAGUUAAUGGUGUUCCUUAUCAUACGUGCUUCAAAUAUUCAUCUCUCUUUAUUACCAAAAAUGGAUGAACCAAUCUUUUCCACUUCAUCAUCACCAUCAAGCCUUCAACAUAGGCUUCAAUAUAUUUUCAAGAAUCAAACAAAUUAUUAUUCUGAUUGGGCGUAUGCUAUUUUCUGGCAAUCGUCGAAUAAUAGUCUGUCUUUAACAUGGGGUGAUGGCCAUUUAAACAUGAAGACGACGAAUAAUAAAGACGUCGAAUGGUUCUACUUGAUGUCUUUAGCUCAGUGUUUUUCUGUUGGUGAAGGAGUUGUUGGAAAAUGUUUUAGUAGUGAUUCUUUUGUGUGGCUAACAGGGGAUCAACAAUUUGAGUUUUGUCAUUGUGAAAGGGCUAAAGAAGCUCAUUAUGUUCAUGGGAUUAAUACUUUUGUAUAUAUUCCAAUUUCUAGUGGUGUGCUCGAACUAGGCUCGAGCACAGUGAUUAAACAGGACUUGAACUUGGUUCAACAAGUCAAGUCUCUGUUCUUUGGUUAUGAAACAAUUGGUCCAAUUGAUGAUUUUGGUCUUUUCAAUUGUUUGGAACAAUAUGGUCAAGAAGCAAAGAAAGGUGAAAUAGUAGUAGGUACAACACCACAGGAAAACAAAGUUGGAUUUAAGGUGAGUUGCUUCAACUGAAUUUAUUGCUUUCGCGUUGAUAUAUGUUACAUCUAUACUAUGGAUAUUCUAACAUUUACUUGGACAAGUGAGUCAGUUCAAGUAGUUGAACAUAUCCACCAAAAGAGAGAGGAUUUGAAUCACGCUGAAGGAUAAGUAAGAAUGUUAAGAAGAUACUUUUCUCCGUCUCAAUCUAUAUAAUGUAAUUUGACUGACCAUGAAAUUCAGAAAAGAAAAGACUUUUUUUAGUUCACAUUUCUUUCAUUUAAUUGAAUGUAUGUGCAUCAUUCUUGCUUUUUCUAAAAAAAAUCUCAAGUUAGUGGCCAUUUGGGCAUUAGAAUUGAGGAAUUUGAAAAAAAAAAAAAAUUCUUUCUAUUUGAAUUUGUUUGUCUCAAAAAUAAUGAUUAUUUCUUUUUUAGCAAAUUUUUUAAAUUUCAACUCAGUUUUUACCUAACAUGUUGAAAGUCAAAUGAAAUACGUAAUAUUUAUGAAAAAAGUGAAAAGUACUUAUUUUGCCUGUACAGAGCAAGACUUCCAAGAAAAGGGGGAGAAAGGGGAGAGAGAUUUGCGAGACACAAGGAAACCACGUAGAGGCGGAGAGGCAGAGAAGAGAGAAACUUAACUCUCGAUUCUAUGCGUUGCGCGAGGUGGUUCCAAACGUAACGAAAAUGGACAAAGCCACAUUGCUAUCAGAUGCUGUAACAUAUAUUACCCAACUGAAAGCUAAAGUGGAUGAAUUAGAAUCAAAACUUCAUAACAAUUACUAUUAUUCAGUGAUGGAGAAGAAACACAAAAUGGAAAAUGAUAAUGUAGUGGACAACCAAAGCUCUACCACUUCUUGGGAUCAUGUAAGGAGCGCUUUCUUCUCGUAAAACAUAUUCACUCUGUUCAUUUUUAUUUGUCAAUUAUUUCAAAGAUUGAGUUUCACUUUUAAUAAAUCAACAAAAGACAUUUUUUAAAUUAUGUGUUCAGUCAAAUAACAUCACCUAAAUUGAGAUGGAAUGAGUAUUUCUAAAAGGAUUGUUUUGAUCACUUCUCCAAGAAGGCUUAUAUUUAUAGAGUUGGAAAAAAAGAAUUAAUUCAAAAUAGUCAUCUUAAUUAUUCCAUGAAAAGACAUGUUAUAUAUGUUAAUUUAAAUUUAUUAAGUUUUAAUAAAAACAAAAAUAUCUAAAAAUAAAUUUAAAUUAAAAAUAGAAUUUUGAAUUUUAUAAUUUUAAAUAAGUCACAAUAUGCAUGUGUCUCUUUUAAUUUCUCCAUUAUUAUUAUCACAACUUCUUCAGUAUUCCCUUUUCAUAUUUACUUUAAAAUAGUUUAUUUGAGCCAAACAUCUAUUGGACACUUCUAGAUCUACCUUCACAAGAUAGGAUAAUGUCUUUGUGCGCACCGCCUUUUCUGAAUUCCUAUUUAUGAAAUUACACUGAUAUGUUAUUGUUGCCAAGAUAUGCAUGUGAGAAAACUAUAAUAAUAAAGCCUCCAAACUAUUUUUUUUUUACUUCCAAUGUGACACAAUCCCAUUUCAAAUGUUACAAAGUAUCUCACAUUAUCUUGUGCAACAUUUGAACCAAACAACCAGACUAUGGAAAUUGAAGUGAAGAUGGUAGGUCAAGAUGCCAUGCUUAGGGUUCAAUCAGAAAAUAUGAAUUAUCCAUCAACAAGAUUGAUGUGUGCUCUUCAAGAAGUUGAACUACAUGUCUACCAUGCCAACAUCUCAAGUGUCAAUGAUCUUAUGCUACAUGACAUACUUGUUAAAGUUCCUCAAGGAUUGGAGACUGAAGAUGAAGUAAAAAAUGCUCUACUUAGAAGCUUAAAGCAAAUAACAUGUUGAUAAUUACCUAUUGGAGACUGAAGAUGAAGUAUGAUCUUCAAUCUCUUCUUUUCAUUUUUAAUCUUACCGUCAGAUCUCUCAAUAACAGUAUCGUAUGCUUUGAAAUUUUUUUGGAUUGAGAAUCGACUUCGGAUUUACUCAUUGAAUAGCUAAUG
rnacentral:lncRNA from 1 species